AUGCGUGAGCGUGCUAAGGUAGCAGUAAUAAUUAGCCUUUUAAUUGAAGGCCAGUGAAUGGCAAGACUAGGAAUAACUGUACUUUGUGUAUAAAAAAAACUUUUCAUCUAAGUGAAAAGACUUAGAUAAUAAAGGAAGACGAAAAGACCCCGCGGAACUUUACCUUUUCUCAUACUUCUGUCUACAAACUUAAAGGUUUAUAAGGUUUGAUUGGGGCAAUCUUGGAACCAAUAAAGCUUCCAAUUUUUUUAAAAGAAUAUUAAAAAUUUACUAAGGACUAAAAAGUAGUUACCCCGGGGAUAACAGCGUAAUCCAACUAAAGAGUACACAUCGAAAGUUGGGUUUGCGACCUCGAUGUUGGCUUAAGGAUAUCCACAUAAGUGCAACCGCUAUGACAGGACAGUCUGUUCGACUAUUAUACCCUUACAUGAGCUGAGUUAAGACCGGCGCAAGCUUAGGUUGGUUUUAUCUCCUUUAUCUCAACGCUUUUCUUGAUUGUACGAAAGGACC
rnacentral:rRNA from 1 species